AUUUUAAUAACAAUGCCGCAUCCUAGAAGAUCCAAUCUUUCCCAGCGAAGCCGUAAUGCAUUUGGGGAAACAAAUACUCGUGAGUAAAUAGGAAGGAGAACGA